CCUUGCUAUAGCUCAGUGGUGCAGCAUUCAAUUGCUAAUUGAGAGAUCCCUUGUUCAAACCAAGGUGCCCCCCUUCUUCAGGGA